rnacentral:lncRNA from 1 species
UUUAUUUAUUUGACAGAGAGAAAUCACAAGUAGAUGGACAGGCAGAGAGAGAGAGAGAGAGAGGGAAGCAGGCUCCCCGCCGAGCAGAGAGCCCGACGCUGGACUUGAUCCCAGGACCCUGAGAUCAUGACCUGAGCUGAAGGCAGCGGCUUAACCCACUGAGCCACCCAGGCGCCCCACAAUGCAGGUUUUUAAAGAAACCAAAGAAGGGCAAUCCAAAUCAGAGCCAUUUUCUUUAGAGACAUUAUUUGGCAACUAUUAUUUCAUCUUAUGAAGGACGUUUUUUGAAAGGUAAGCAAUUCCUUUGGCUUUAUUUUGACUUGUUUUGUUGUUGUUGUUGUUAAGUAUAAGAAAU